UACAUGAGUCACGUUACUGGGGCAACAGUGGCAGAGGGAAGGAAAUAGAAUUGUAAAACAUAAACCACAGCCCAGCUGACAGGGAGAGGAGAGGAGAGCGGAGCGCGGAGCCAAAGCAGCAGGGAAGCACAGCCCGGCUGGAGCCCCGCCAAGAUGGUCUGAGUAAUUAUCAACGCCUGCAGGUAUGUGGCAGCGAAGAUUAGAAGCCUGUGUGGUCAGAGAAAUGAGGAGCCCCUUGAGACCCACCCCGCUGACCACAGCCAGAACCAAAAUGUAAGUUCAGUGAUAUCAGAAGGCCCCCAAGUGACGGACCCUGUCAAUAAGAACAAGAUGCUUGGCUCUGAACGACCCUGCGGUCCCGAGGGUAGCUGAUCUCUGCGCCCUUCCUAACUCUUCAAGGGCCUUGGCCUGCUGGUGUUCCUGUUCCACAGGGAUCAGAAAUGUGUGUUCUCCCCCAAAUCCAUCUUGCAUUUGUACUCUAUUCAUUUGUAUAACAGUAUGAAUUGGGCAUGUUAAUCCCUUGCUAAUAAGGAUUUCCCAGCAUGAAAGACUAAUUAAAACAAAAACUCAGCACCAGCCAUAAUUGCUGGCUGCAAAACUCACCCAAUGACACUUGGCCUGGGUUGCUUAUUGUAGAAUGCAUUUCCCUUCUCAAUCUAAAAAUGAACCACAGUCUUAUGCAAUUCAUCUAUGAGGCCAAAUUCUGGUGUCACAUACAGUGAGUGUAAAUUCAGAGGAACUUCACUGAAGUUAACAGAUUCUGAUCCUCAGCUGGGUUGCAUUGGCUUCCCUCCAUUGACUGGAGCUAUGCUGAUUUGCACCAGCAGAGAAUCAGGACCAGAGUAGAUCUGGUGUAACAGAGAAUAACAUCUGGCUUUGCAGGCUAAAAUUGGCUCUAACACUGUUAUGAAGGAAAGAAACUCCAUCGAUUUCAAUGAAGUUACUCUGGAUUGACACUGGAGUAAGAGAGAGCAGAAUUUGGCCCAUAGAGAGAAGACACUACCCUUACUGCCUGGUUGUCGAAGCGAUGCCAUGCAAUGUGGUCCCAGGUCACUAUAUGGAUGGACGGGUCUGGCCUUGGUGGUUUGAUUCCCUUUCCUCUGGAAAGUUCUCCCUGUACUGUCACAGUGAGCAAUGACGACAGUUUCACAAACUCCUCCAUGUGGAGAUGAACAAGUCUGAAUCCUGCCUGUGCUACAAACACAGAAUUUAACCAACAAUAAAGACUAACAUGAGCAUGAA